rnacentral:lncRNA from 1 species
AAGUUUUAGUAGUUCCAACUAUAGCAAAUCCGAUCACAAAUUAUAGUGCAAAUAAAACCCGAGAUUGCAAACAUUUAAAAGGAUUAAGAUUAGCGCACCGGAUCACGAACGACAACAAUUUUAGAAUAUCUUUACUGAUAGGAGCUGAUUUUUACUGGGAUUUUGUAGAGGAUACCGUUAUUAGAGGAAUAGGUCCGACAGCUGUUAAGUCUAAACUUGGUUACCUGUUGUCUGGUCCGACAUCACCAGAUGUGAAUCGUAAAUCGGGACUAGUAGGAAUGUUCAACAUUUUGACAAAUCCUAAACCGGAAGAG